AGAAGUUCUUUGUGGAGGGGCAGGCGCUCCACAGACCACAUGGCUGGAACUUCCUGAUUAAUACCUUUCCCAAAGGCUGUGCAGUCCAUCCUAACUGCUCCUGGAACCCCAGGGUCUGAAUGCCUACUCCAGCUCAUCACAGGCAACUGAAGCAGAAAUGGCUCUAGUAAAUGCUUUAUUCUCAUGGGAAGAGGGGCAGGAAGGGGCAAGAGAGGAAGGAAUGAUAGUGGGUAAGGAGAAUAAAUGGAUAGACUUAAAAACCCUGAGGGAUCUUUCCUAUUUUUCUCUUCUAGAAAUACAUGAAUUUUUAACCUGCCCAUUUGGGAGCAAGGACACUAGAGAGUGUUGUGGCACAGAAGGUGGUUCCUGUGGUUGCUCUGAAGCUGUCCCUUCCUGAGUGGCACGGGACACACUGGCUGUCAGCAUGGCUGGGAGCUGCCAGGGCGUUGGGUCUGGGACUCUGGAUUCCAAGGAGCAAGAGGGACAGAGAAGAUGGAGAUGAGACUGAUGGGGGAAGGAGCCUUGUGCAGAUGGCAGGAUGGGUGUUGGCAUUGUGAAGGAAGACAGAGGCACUGGGACAGGAGGAGAAGCAGGAUGUUGGAAACAAGACGGAUGAAAGGCUCGUGCUGAGUGGUGCCAUUACACAGCUGCUCAUACUGGAGUUACACAUGCACUUGUGUGCACACAGCUCUGAACUGCAGGAGUGCCAAUCCUGUCUGCCAUUUAUUUCCAAGGGUGUCCAGAGGGUGAAUCUGGGCUUUUUCAUAAAAGCAGCUACUCCUUUGAAUCCCUUCCUUCUUUGUGGUCAAUAAUGUUGAAGGACAGAGGAUUGCUGAAGAAGAGAUAAUGGCUUUCAUGAUUUUGUGACUUGGUUUUGAGUUGUAACCCACACAUCUAUCUUUCUAAUUUUCUAAUUUUCAAUUUCUUCCUUUUUAAAUUAUUUUUAAAAUUUAUUUAACUAAUUAUUAUAAUAUUUUUAUAAUAUUUUUACCGUCAAAUAAAUACUAUGCUGAUGAAUUCCA
rnacentral:lncRNA from 1 species